UCAUGUGGUACUCUUCUCAAGAGGGAGGCAAUCAUGUGUAAUUAGAUAUGAUUGACACCUCUUUGAGUGGAGUAACACAUGA
rfam:Nomascus leucogenys chromosome X, whole genome shotgun sequence.